UACACGAGUGGCGAACGGGUGAGUAACACGUGGGGUAAUCUGCCCUGCACUUCGGGAUAAGCCUGGGAAACCGGGUCUAAUACCGGAUAUGAACUCCUGCCGCAUGGUGGGGGUUGGAAAGUUUUUCGGUGCAGGAUGAGCCCGCGGCCUAUCAGCUUGUUGGUGGGGUAAUGGCCUACCAAGGCGACGACGGGUAGCCGGCCUGAGAGGGUGAUCGGCCACACUGGGACUGAGACACGGCCCAGACUCCUACGGGAGGCAGCAGUGGGGAAUAUUGCACAAUGGGCGAAAGCCUGAUGCAGCGACGCCGCGUGGGGGAUGACGGUCUUCGGAUUGUAAACCCCUUUCAGUAGGGACGAAGCGCAAGUGACGGUACCUGCAGAAGAAGCACCGGCUAACUACGUGCCAGCAGCCGCGGUAAUACGUAGGGUGCGAGCGUUGUCCGGAAUUACUGGGCGUAAAGAGCUCGUAGGCGGUUUGUCACGUCGUCUGUGAAAUCCCUCGGCUUAACCGGGGGCGUGCAGGCGAUACGGGCAGACUUGAGUACUACAGGGGAGACUGGAAUUCCUGGUGUAGCGGUGAAAUGCGCAGAUAUCAGGAGGAACACCGGUGGCGAAGGCGGGUCUCUGGGUAGUAACUGACGCUGAGGAGCGAAAGCAUGGGUAGCGAACAGGAUUAGAUACCCUGGUAGUCCAUGCCGUAAAUCGGUGGGCGCUAGGUGUGGGGUCCUUCCACGGAGCUCCGUGCCGUAGCUAACGCAU
rnacentral:rRNA from 1 species